AACGAACGCUGGCGGCAUGCCUAACACAUGCAAGUCGAACGAGACCUUCGGGUCUAGUGGCGCACGGGUGCGUAACGCGUGGGAACCUGCCUUUAGGUUCGGAAUAACUCAGAGAAAUUUGAGCUAAUACCGGAUGAUGUCUUCGGACCAAAGAUUUAUCGCCUUUAGAUGGGCCCGCGUUGGAUUAGCUAGUUGGUGGGGUAAAGGCCUACCAAGGCGACGAUCCAUAGCUGGUCUGAGAGGAUGAUCAGCCACACUGGGACUGAGACACGGCCCAGACUCCUACGGGAGGCAGCAGUGGGGAAUAUUGGACAGUGGGCGAAAGCCUGAUCCAGCAAUGCCGCGUGAGUGAUGAAGGCCCUAGGGUUGUAAAGCUCUUUUACCCGAGAUGAUAAUGACAGUAUCGGGAGAAUAAGCUCCGGCUAACUCCGUG
rnacentral:rRNA from 1 species